UUUUGUGUCUAUUAUUCAAAAAAUGAUUAUUUCUUAUAUUAUCCUUGUAUUGUUUGUUCUUUUUAUCUAUAUCUAUUUUAUUUAAAGUAUUCUAAAGAUGGCGUUGAUUCCACAAUUUUUAAUUUUUUUUUUCUUUCAUUGUUUUCUUUUUUUGCCUAUAUAUAUUAUAUAAAUUCAGGCACUCGAGAGAUGGCGCUGAUUUAUGAUUAGCUUUUCUUAUUUAAUAUAUUAAUUAAAAAUAAUACAGUUUAUUCCAUUGAAUUUUUAUAUUGAAAUUUAAACUUUUUCCAAAGUAGAAAUGGUGUCAAUUGGUCGUGGUCGAGGAUGGGCUCAAAAUGAUAAAAAUUUAUCUAGACCAGGAAGAUCAUUAUAUUCUGAUGAUAUAGAUUAUGUGAAUUUUCUCAAUCUUAUCAAUACUGUUCACAAUGAAAAUGUAGCAGAAAAAUCUGAAGAUUUUGUAAAACUAAUUAAUGAGAAAGUGAAUAAGGAAAAUUUAAAAGAUAUACAUGAUAAACUUUAUCAAUAUGCUUUAAACAAUCGGGACUUUGGAGCAAAAUUAUUAAUGAUAUAUAAUUAUCCUACAAUCAAAAAUGUAUGUGAUUCUGAAGAAACAAGUUUAUAUAAGCAUUUAGUAAGACGAUUUCAAAUUGAUUACGAAAGAAGGAAAGAUCUAAGGCAAGAAAAUACAGUACAAUUUCAUAAUGCUAUUUGUUUAUUUUCUAAAUAUUUAAGUUAUAUUCUGCAUUCAUCACAGUCCUUUCUCAGAUUUCAAUCUGCAUUAUUGGAUUACAUGGAAAUGUUAUUAGAAAUAGCUUCUUCAGAGGAUAUCCAAAUUUUUACAGAAUUAAUUAUUGUACAUGGCAAACAUUUUUAUGACAGUCAUAAAGAAAAACUGAAUGAUUUAAUGGUCACUGCAAGACAAAUUUUAAUUAAAGAAAAUGUAUGCUCUAUAUCUCGUCAAAAAUUAUUAUAUGCAAUAGAUUUGGAGAGUAGAAAUUUUAAUACAUUACCUGUAAAUUUACAAAAAUUUUAUAAUUCACAAUUGAAUAAAACUUUUAUUCAAGAGGAUAAUGAUAUUGUUAAUUCUGUAUUGAGAACAGAAGAUGAAUGUCAUUCUUCAACUAAUGAAUUAAAUAAUCAGACAUCCCAGUCCAUACCUACAAAUAACCGAGGUUUAAGAGCAAUUCGAGGAUUGGGAGCAGUAGAUAAUGCAAAAUAAAAAAAUUCUAUAAAAUGUAAAUAUAAUAAUAAUUUAAAGGCUAGAAAAUAUAAAGAAAGGAAUUUGCAGAUGAAGAUAUAUUGUAUAUAUUUCGUAAAUAAUAUUAAAUAAUCUAAUAUUUUACUCUAAAAUAAUUGCAAAAUAUAUCAUAAAAUCCAUUAAAAUAUAAUUUAUGAUUAAUUUUAAUACAAUAAUUAAUAAAUAAAUUAUAUUCUAUAUAAUUAAAAUUUAUUAUAAAAGAAAAUAUAUAGAUAUAUAAUAUUAUUUUAUAUUCAGAAUAAAUAUUGUAAGUAUAUAUAUAAACAGUAAAACAUUAAAACAUAACACAUCAUUGUAUUAUCAUUUAGAAUUGUAAUUUAUAUAAAUAUUGUAAGUUUUUUCUUAAUUUAAAAUUAAUAAAAUUAAUAUAACUUCUUUUUUUAACAAAAUUAAUUAUAUUAAUCAAUAUCUUUUCACAUGCAUUUUUAUUAAAAGUAUUUAUCAUAUUUUACAUUCUGUAAUAGUAGAUAUAUAUUACUAUACAUAUAUAUUAUUACAUUCUGUAAUAUUUUUAAUAUUAAUGUAUAAUAUUAAUUAUAUAAUAUAUUAUAAAAUAAAAUUUUAUUAUAUGUACUGUCAUUAAAAA